rnacentral:rRNA from 1 species
UACAGAGGUGGCAAGCGUUGUUCGGAUUUACUGGGCGUAAAGGGUGCGUAGGUGGUUUCGCGUGUCGGAUGUGAAAUCUGGCUGCUCAACAGUCAAACUGCAUUCGAAACUGCGAUUCUUGAGUACAGGAGAGGAGAGCGGAAUUCUUGGUGUAGCGGUGAAAUGCGUUGAUAUCAAGAGGAACACCAGUGGCGAAGGCGGCUCUCUGGAAUGUAACUGACACUGAGGCACGAAAGUUGGGGGAG